CAGAGUUCGUGCCCUCACGGGUAGAUCUCCCACCCUGUGUUAUUAUACCUUUGUUGCUUUGGCGGGCCGCCCUCGGCUACCGGCCCCGGCUGGUACGCGCCCGCCAGAGGCCCGACAAAUUCUGAUUGUCAGUGUCGUCUGAGUACUAUAUAAUAGUUA
rnacentral:misc_RNA from 1 species